rnacentral:rRNA from 1 species
GGAGUUAUUAAAAUUUCUUUGAUUUGACCUCACGAAAAUAGUUGAGCUAAAUAAUUGUAAUUAUUAGAUUAUCAUAUGUAGCAUAAUAAAAAUAAAUAAUUAUUUAGGGGUGAUAGGCUUAUCAAAACUAUAGAUAUCUUGAUUCUUUUUAAAAACAUUUAGUGUAAUGUCAACUAAAAAAUGAUAAGGUUUUUUAGUGGUAUGAAUAUGUUUUAACAGUUUAAAUCUUAACUUAAUCGUUAGAUUUGCCUAAAUUAAAUUAUUAAUUUACAAUAUAUUAUGGCUUGUAUAAAGAAAUAUUUAAACUGUUUAAAUAAUUUAAAAUGUAACUAUAAGUAACUUAUAUAAAUACAAAAAAUGAACUCGGCAAAUUGCCUUUCAACUGUUUACCAAAAACAUAGCUAUGUGUAAUUAUUCAUAGUAAUUUCUGCUCAAUGAAAACUUAAAUAGCCGCAGUACCCUGACUGUGCAAAGGUAGCGAAAUAAUUUGGCUUAUAAUUGAAGUCUUGUAUAAAUGAAAUUUUGGGGGGCAUCUUUAUUCUUUGUAGAACUUGAAAUUACUAAUUAAGUGCAAAUUCUUAUAUUUAAAUGAUAGACGAGAAGACCCUAGAAAUUUUUAUAAAUUGUAUUUAAUCUUUUUGUUGGGGCAACAAGGUAACAUAAAAUUUACCUUUAAUAACAAGAACAUUUAUGUGAUAGAAUAAAUUACUCUAGGGAUAACAGCGUAAUUUAUAAAAGUUUGCGACCUCGAUGUUGGACUAGGGAACUGUUGUUUAGAAGACAUAAUGUAAGGCUCUGUUCGAGCCA